AACGAACGCUGGCGGCAGGCUCAACACAUGCAAGUCGAACGCAUCCUUCGGGGUGAGUGGCAGACGGGUGAGUAACGCGUGGGAACGUGCCCUUCAGUUCGGGAUAACCCAGGGAAACUUGGGCUAAUACCGGAUACGUGCGAGAGCAGAAAGAUUUAUCGCUGAAGGAUCGGCCCGCGGCUGAUUAGCUAGUUGGUGGGGUAAUGGCCCACCAAGGCGACGAUCAGUAGCUGGUCUGAGAGGAUGAUCAGCCACAUUGGGACUGAGACACGGCCCAAACUCCUACGGGAGGCAGCAGUGGGGAAUAUUGGACAAUGGGCGCAAGCCUGAUCCAGCCAUGCCGCGUGAGUGAUGAAGGCCUUAGGGUUGUAAAGCUCUUUCAUCCGGGACGAUAAUGACGGUACCGGAAGAAGAAGCCCCGGCUAACUUCGUGCCAGCCGCCGCAGUAA
rnacentral:rRNA from 1 species